GCAGUAGCCGCGGGAAUACGGAGGGUGCAAGCGUUAAUCGGAAUUACUGGGCGUAAAGCGCACGCAGGCGGUUCGUUAAGUCAGAUGUGAAAUCCCCGAGCUUAACUUGGGAACUGCAUUUGAAACUGGCAAGCUAGAGUCUUGUAGAGGGGGGUAGAAUUCCAGGUGUAGCGGUGAAAUGCGUAGAGAUCUGGAGGAAUACCGGUGGCGAAGGCGGCCCCCUGGACAAGGACUGACGCUCAGGUGCGAAAGCGUGGGGAGCAAACAGGAUUAGAUACCCCUGUAGUCCCUGUCUCUUAUAC
rnacentral:rRNA from 1 species